GGCGUGGUAGCCAAGUGGUAAGGCAGUGGUUUGCAAAACCUCUACACGCGAGUUCGAUUCUCGCCCACGCCUCAA
rnacentral:tRNA from 9 species